rnacentral:rRNA from 1 species
UACGUAGGGUGCGAGCGUUUAAUCGGAAUUACUGGGCGUAAAGCGUGCGCAGGCGGUUUUUUAAGACAGGCGUGAAAUCCCCGGGCUUAACCUGGGAACUGCGUUUGAAACUGGAAGGCUAGAGUGUGGCAGAGGGGGGGUGGAAUUCCACGUGUAGCAGUGAAAUGCGUAGAUAUGUGGAGGAACACCGAUGGCGAAGGCAGCCCCCCUGGGCUAACACUGACGCUCAUGCACGAAAGCGUGGGGAGCAAACAGG